AGUGAACGCUGGCGGUAGGCCUAACACAUGCAAGUCGAACGGCAGCACAGUAAGAGCUUGCUCUUACGGGUGGCGAGUGGCGGACGGGUGAGGAAUACAUCGGAAUCUACUUUUUCGUGGGGAUAACGUAGGGAAACUUACGCUAAUACCGCAUACGACCUACGGGUGAAAGCAGGGGAUCUUCGGACCUUGCGCGAUUGAAUGAGCCGAUGUCGGAUUAGCUAGUUGGCGGGGUAAAGGCCCACCAAGGCGACGAUCCGUAGCUGGUCUGAGAGGAUGAUCAGCCACACUGGAACUGAGACACGGUCCCGACUCCUACGGGAGGCAGCAGUGGGGAAUAUUGGACAAUGGGCGCAAGCCUGAUCCAGCCAUACCGCGUGGGUGAAGAAGGCCUUCGGGUUGUAAAGCCCUUUUGUUGGGAAAGAAAAGCAGCAGGUUAAUACCCCGCUGUUCUGACGGUACCCAAAGAAUAAGCACCGGCUAACUUCGUG
rnacentral:rRNA from 1 species